rnacentral:rRNA from 1 species
AGAGUUUGAUUCUGGCUCAGAACGUACGCUGGCGGCACGCCUAACACAUGCAAGUCGAACGAAGUAGCAAUACUUAGUGGCAGACGGGUGAGUAACAUGUAGGUAUCUGCCCUUUGGCCUGGAAUAACACGAGGAAACUUGUGCUAAUACCGGAUAAGUCUUUACGGAGAAAGCUUUAUGCACCAUUGGAUGAGCCUGCACUUGAUUAGUUUGUUGGUGGGGUAAUGGCCUACCAAGACUGUGAUCAAUAGCUGAUUUGAGAGGAUGAUCAGCCACAUUGGGACUGAGACACGGCCCAAACUCCUACGGGAGGCAGCAGUGGGGAAUCUUGCACAAUGGAGGAAACUCUGAUGCAGCGAUGCCGCGUGAGUGAAGAAGGCCCUUGGGUUGUAAAGCUCUUUCGUCGGGGAAGAAAAUGACUGUACCCGAAUAAGAAGGUCCGGCUAACUUCGUGCCAGCAGCCGCGGUAAUACGAAGGGACCUAGCGUAGUUCGGAAUUACUGGGCUUAAAGAGUUCGUAGGUGGUUGAAAAAGUUAGUGGUGAAAUCCCAGAGCUUAACUCUGGAACUGCCAUUAAAACUUUUCAGCUAGAGUAUGAUAGAGGAAAGCAGAAUUUCUAGUGUAGAGGUGAAAUUCGUAGAUAUUAGAAAGAAUACCAAUUGCGAAGGCAGCUUUCUGGAUCAUUACUGACACUGAGGAACGAAAGCAUGGGUAGCGAAGAGGAUUAGAUACCCUCGUAGUCCAUGCCGUAAACGAUGUGUGUUAGACGUUGGAAAUUUAUUUUCAGUGUCGCAGGGAAACCGAUAAACACACCGCCUGGGGAGUACGACCGCAAGGUUAAAACUCAAAUGAAUUGACGGGGACCCGCACAAGUAGUGGAGCAUGUGGUUUAAUUCGAAGAUACGCGCAGAACCUUACCAACACUUGACAUGUUCGUCGCGACUCUAAGAGAUUAGAGUUUUCGGUUCGGCCGGACGAAACACAGGUGCUGCAUGGCUGUCGUCAGCUCGUGUCGUGAGAUGUUGGGUUAAGUCCCGCAACGAGCGCAACCCUCACUUUUAGUUGCCAUCAUUAAGUUGGGCACUCUGAAAGAACUGCCAGUGAUAAGCUGGAGGAAGGUGGGGAUGACGUCAAGUCCUCAUGGCCCUUACGUGUUGGGCUACACACGUGCUACAAUGGUAUCUACAACAGGAAGCAAGACUGCGAAGUUAAGCAAAUCCCUAAAAGAUACCUCAGUUCGGAUUGCACUCUGCAACUCGAGUGCAUGAAGCUGGAAUUACUAGUAAUCGUGGAUCAGCGUGCCACGGUGAAUGCGUUCCCGGGUCUUGUACACACCGCCCGUCACACCAUGGGAGUUGGUUCUACCUUAAGGCAAGGUUUAAAACCCUUGACCACGGUAUAGUCAGCGACUGGGGUGAAGUCGUAACAAGGUA